CACGGGUGCGUAACACGUAACUAACCUGCCCAUCCCUGGGGGAUAGCCCGCCGAAAGGCGGAUUAAUACCGCAUAAGAUAAUAAGGUGGCAUCACCUAGUUAUUAAAGAUUUAUCGGGGAUGGAUGGGGUUGCGGGUCAUUAGCUAGUUGGUAAGGUAAUGGCUUACCAAGGCGACGAUGACUAGGGGAGCUGAGAGGCUGGUCCCCCACACGGGCACUGAGAUACGGGCCCGACUCCUACGGGAGGCAGCAGUAGGGAAUAUUGGGCAAUGGGCGAGAGCCUGACCCAGCCAUGCCGCGUGCAGGAAGAAGGCUUUCUGAGCCGUAAACUGCUUUUGAUAGGGAAGAAUAACCGGUACGUGUACCGGGAUGACGGUACCUACAGAAUAAGCACCGGCUAACUCCGUGCCAGCAGCCGCGGUAAU
rnacentral:rRNA from 1 species